rnacentral:rRNA from 1 species
UUCCUACGGGAGGCAGCAGUAAGGAAUAUUGGUCAAUGGGCGGAAGCCUGAACCAGCCAUGCCGCGUGCAGGAUGACUGCCCUAUGGGUUGUAAACUGCUUUUGUCCAGGAAUAAACCUAAAUACGUGUAUUUAGCUGAAUGUACUGGAAGAAUAAGGAUCGGCUAACUCCGUGCCAGCAGCCGCGGUAAU